AUUAAAGGCAAUUAAUUUAAGACGACCGGCUAGUUUUCUAUUUUGCUCUGCAAAAGGACGAAAGAAAUGAAAGUCUUGGAUUAAACCAGCUCAAAGAAGGGCUUACAUGGUGUGGUAUUAUGAGUUUUGGCCAAACAAGUAAUUUUUUUUUUUCAAAAGACAUCACGCCAUUAAUAGAUUCAUAUACCUUAUAUGUAGCUUUCUAAUUUUUUCAGCUUCCAAUUAUUCGCAAACCCAACAGAAAUAAAAAUCUACGGAGUAUUUUUCCUCCCUAUUUUCUCUUUGUAUUUGAGUUAUAAACAUGUUUACCCUUAAAAUUGGAGAACAAUUAAACUUAUAAGUGGUUUAAAGGAUAUGUGAUUUUACUUGACACAAAUUGAGAAAUAUGAGAAAAAUGUUAGAAAUUAAUAAUAGAAUAAAGAAAACCAAUAUAAUGAGCGAUUAUGGCCCUCGAGCUAGAUCGCCCUCGAACCAAAUGAGUAUGCAAUUGAGCUAUAUGAACUAAUCAACAGAGCUUAAAAGAAAACGUAAUGUAUUGCUUUUUUAUGCGUGAAUAUGAUGAUUAUAAAAUGAUUAGACCCCUUUAUAUAGUAGAGGAAUUUCACUUAUGGUACAAUUCUAAAUACGGAAAGAAAUCCCAUGAUUGGCUAAAUAACCAGUCCUGACUCGAUACGUGCCGAGAUUUCCGCCAUAAUCCUUACCCGAUCAAGGAUAUCUCAGCUUUCUAUUAUUCGACUUAGCAGGCUUCCUUCGGUCUCGCUCGAUCUCUUUUCUGCUUUGGUCUCGAUCACGGCUGGUCUCGAUCUUGAUCGGUCAUUGAUUCACGAGCUUAGCAAUUCGUCUCCGUAUCAUAGUUCGAUGCAAUGCAGGGCCGAGCCUUGGUCUGCCACCCCAGUUUCGGUUAGCCAUACAAAAUUAGGGAAGUCUGAUUCUGACCGUAUACAGAUAGUCCCCUCAGUUUUUGGAGUGUAAGAUAAGAAACAAAUUGAGUCUUCGAACUUCCCCUCGAUUUACCAUGACGUAGGCAUUGUGACGCAAGCGGCAGAGGUGACCAAAAUGUCCCAUCGGUUCAGUUUCCUAGGCAUUUAAUGUGCGUCAGUUGCUGGUCGGCCACUACUAGUAUUGACCGUCGUUGCAAAACCAAUAAAUAGCCACCUUCUUUAUUCUUUAAAACUUCACUUUCAAUUUCCUUCAUCCUAAUCUUCACAGUUCUUUGCUUUCUCCGGAUCUUUGUGUUUUCAGUUUCCUGGGUAUCUUUAUUUGUUUCUUCGCAAAAUAUCCCAGCGUUCCUCCUCCAUUCUAUUCUUCUCCAUUUACAAAAAUGGCUAAGACCUCAAAAACUGACCCACACAAGGAAACCGCUUUUUCAUCAAGGUCUGUCGGUGCCGGAUCCGCGUCGGAGCCUCCCUUAGAGGACUUCGUUCCUACAAAGUGCCCUACUGCUGCUAAUUUUAAGGUGGAGAAUACACCCUCGACGCCGGGUCGAUGCGAACCGAUGCCGAGAUACAUAUGUACUAUUACCGACAAUCUCUUCAAGAAGGUGAAAGAGGAGUGCAACUGGGUAGGCAAAGAUGUAGUAGUUCCUACCCCCGGGGAGUCUAUCACCACUCAUGUGGAGGGGUAUCUAAGUGUCUAUACUUACCCCUUCACGAUAGGUCCCUUAGACCCCAUCAUCAUCGCCUUCUACAAGAGGUACGAUGUCAUUUUUGGCCAAAUCCAUCCAUCAUUCUGGAGGAUCGUGAUCCUCCUCCGAUUUUUUGUAAACAAGAUCGAGGGGCAUCUUUUUACCCUCGAUCAUCCUAUGUGUCUCAAUGGCCCCGGCUAUAUGGAGGAGGGUUGAUCAAGCUUUACCAUCGAGUUACCAAACCCCUGUUCUCGAGCAUAGAUGAGACCCGAGACCAAGGUUAGAUGGGUCGAUUUGUCGGAAUAGAGACUUCGAACCUGAUCCCUGCCGAGGACAUGCAGUUUUCUGAAAAAUGGAACAUGAAUCUUGUGGCCAUCAUGCCGGAAGUGAUCCCUGACCUAAGGCAAUGGGUCGAAGGCUUAGUGUCGCAAAAGUCUUACUUUGAGAAUGCUUGGAUAGAGUUAUCAAAGGGUUAAUGGGAGGCACGUAACCAUGGCCUCGGGAAGGAUGUAGCAAUGAGUCCCUCCUCUGCUGAAAAAGAGGCACUUCUUUCAUCAUCUGCCCUGAAGUAGGGCAAAGAGAAGAAAAGAAAAGAGGCUCCGAGCUCUCCUGGCCCAGAAAAGAAAAGACUGGCUAGGAGGCCCCGUAAGCCUAAGGGGAACGUCAUCCGUGUAACUUUGGAGUCUUUCCAACGGCUAAGGGAUGAGGCUGAAGAUGAAGAUGAUGAAGAAGAAGACUUUGGACUGGUGACUCGUGUGCGAGCUAGCACCAAGAUUCAAGGAACCACUGGGUCGGCAGGAGCCGAAACUGCUUUACCUCGACCUGAUGAGCCCGAGCCAGAAAAAGCCAAAGAUGCUUCACCUCGAGGUGGGAAGAUUGCCGAGGAGGCAAUCGAAGCUGAUGCAUAAACUGGGCUCGAGGCACCCCAGAAUGGAGGUGAUGCCUCGAAAGACCCACUUGGGGCAAUAGAGAUUGGGGAAUCCCCCUCGUUCCCUCCAGUUUCUGAUUCAAUGAUACAUGAUGCUCAGGUUGCGGAGACUUGUCACGGGGAAGGAGCCCACGGAGAGGAAGAUUUUUUUUGUGGUUAUUUUGCUGAGGUAGAAGAUGUCACCGGUCUUGGUGACUUUGGAUGUACCGAGGAAGAGCUCGAGUGAGGCUUCCUCGAGCUUUAAACUGACCAAUCAAUUCCCGGCCCCAGUGUUGAUCCCAGGCAUAAGUGGCCACUUAUCAUCUCGGUCCUAGAGGAUGCUCGGGUUUUUUCUGCCCCCGUAGGGGUGGCUAGCUUUAUUCGAUGCUUGGUCACUGAAGAGGACCAAGCAAAGAUGGAUGAAGUGGAAGUUGCUUGCUUGUUCAACGAGGCCCAACACACUCUGAAUCAUGUAAGUUUGAGGGCCAUUCCAUUAUCUCUGUAUAACUUUGAAUCGUAGAUAUUUCUAACAUUUUCGUCCUUUGUUGUAGGCUUCGGUGUUGCAUCAUGAGGCCUUUCUUCGAAUCUGAGAGGAGUGCAAGGUUGAGGUCCAGGGCCUCACUGAGAAAUGCGAUACCUACAAGCUUCUCAGUGAGAAGCUUCAGGUAGACUUGGUGACGACUCGAGAUGAGCAUGCUGAAAUGGUCGAGCAGGUAUUCCGAGUCCUUCAUGAUAGUGAGGAUGAGUUGGAGAUAACAACUAACGAUCCGAUUAUACAGGUUCGAUAGAGGCUCGAAUAGAUCAAGGACCUCCAAAGGCAAAUAGAUAAAGUACGAGCUGAGGCUAAAAGUGUAUGGACAUUUUGGCUGCACAAAAGGAGGUCGUUCAAGCAGAGCUGGAUUCGGCCGAGUCUCAGCUUCGGUAUGCAAGAGAGAAUGCCUUGGUUCAGGCAAAGAAGGUCGAUGAUCUUGAAUCCCAUUUGGCCAACUUGGCCAAAGAGCUCGAGGUGGCCAGGUCUGAGGCGGCCGCGGCCAAUAUUAAGGCUCAGUCUAAUGCGACCCAAUACAAGGCCGAUGAUGAAGCCACCCUAGCGCAGGCUAAGAGCAUGGUGGAUCAUGAAAAGUGGCAGGCUUGAAGGGAGGCCCUUGAAGGAGCCCGUGAUCAAAGCUUCGAUAUAUCUGCUGAAAUCGAGGCUGCUAGGGCAGACGAAACGAAGACUAGGAAGCUGGUUUUUCCCGAGGAGGACUCCGAGAGUUUAAGUGGAUCUGGUGAAGAAGACUUUGAGGGCAAAGAUGCUUCCUCCGGUAGGGACCAUGCUGCUUAGACUUAGUAUUUUUUGUUUUUCCGUCGAGGCCAUCCGACCUUUGUAAAGAAUUCUUAAUCGGGCCAUAUGGCCCUUGUAAAAAGAUAUUGAUGAAUAUAUGAAACUUCUUCCCUUCCAUGGCUUAUGAAUCUGUUGUCUAUUUUUUUUAUAUCAUGUAAGGGUCAAAUGCCUUAGCAUAAGAUCAUGAAGUUGUGUUCGAGGGUCCGAGGUUUGGGGAAGGUAAGGGCCGAUAAUAGGCCUUACAUUUGACCUUUUCUAAUCGAUAGACUCCGAAUGAUAACCCGAACUUGAGUUUAUGUAGCCCUUAAGCUUAAUGAUCGAGUGAGGACAUGCUCGAACUCGGAAUUAGGUAACCCUUAGGCUUUCUAGUCGAGUUGAAAAUGAUCUCUCGAUCUCGAAGUGAAAGUAACCCUUAGGACUUUGUAAAUUUUGUAUUCGGCUGAUCUGGCCUUUGUAAAAUGAUCUUUUAGUCAUAUAUAUAAGGAUUUUCUACCCUUUUUGGCUUUCAAAGUUUUCCCUUUAUUUAUCAUUUAUGUUCACAAAGGUUGUAAUGCCUUAGCAUGAACUAAGAAAUUGUUCGAGAGCUCGAACAAUUUUGUACUCAUUAGAGUUUUCGAGGUUUGAUAUUAUCGAAGCCUUUUAUGAUUUUGCCUGGGGUAGACCUUUUAAUCGGUUUAUGAAAGAAUUCGAAAUCCUGUUUUGUUACGAAAUUUGGACGUCUCUGAACCGUGUUAAUUUGGUCGUAGCCUCUUUAGUCCGGGAUUUGCCCCUUGGGCUUAUUUUCAUGUUUUACUUCGAUCUUGCUUGAAGUUUUAAUGAGUCGGUCUAAUUUAUUUUUCGGACGGCAAUCCCCGAGCAUGGGGGUAAUUAUCCGAACUCUGGUUAUGAUCGACCCUUGAGCCUGUUUACAUAAUAGAUUGAGAGUAUGAAAUUGUAAAGCAGAAAUUUUCUUUUAAGGCAUGAGAUAUUGGCAAGGAAAAAUACUUCUCUUUAUAAUUGAUUAUACAUGCAUACAUGUUCUAUGCCAGGGCUCGAGAAAACUAUGAAGGCACGGUUCGUUUGACCGUUUCUCCCUUACAAAUUUUCCUAUCAAGACCCUGAUGCCAUGAAGUAAUUUUCUCACAAAAAGUUGUCAUUCGAGAGUAAUGCCCCACAAUAUUCGAGGUUGAUUGUAAAGAAGCCUCAGAUCUGUUGACUUGUUCUAAGUUAGCAACAUCAAUGGUUGCCUCGUUAAAAACCUCGUCGGAAAACCCAUUUGGGACAAAACCGGUCUAAGGGAAAAAGAGUGUAACGCGUGCUUUCAGACCUAAAUACUUCGUGUUGAGGAGUCCAUUGUUGUUUCUGAUCAAACACCUGCAGGAGUUAGUUUAAAAGAUAAAUAAAAAUGGAAGGGGACGUACCUUAGAAGUAGUACCGUUUUAGGUUUGAUAUGUUCUAGUUGCUCAGUAGUUGUUCGUCGUUCAUUGUGCCGAGCUUGUAGGAUCCUUUUCCGAUGAUUUUGAGAACCUUGUACGGUCCUUCGUAGUUCUGACCUAGUUUCCCUUCAUUUGGAUUUGGGGUGUUGAGGAUGACCUUUCUUAGCACCAAGUCCCUGAUGUUAAAAUGUUGAAAAUUGGCUCUUCAAUUGUACUACCUUUCGAUCCGCUAUUUUUGAGCAGCCAAUCGGACGAGGGCGACUUCGCGUUUUUCGUCCAACAAUUCUAGGCUCGUAUUCAUAUCCUCAUUAUUUGACUCUUCUAUUGCAUAUCAAAAUCUGAUGAUGGGUUCUCCGACUUCGACCGUGAUUAGAGAUUCGGUGCCAUAAACUAAUGAGAACGGUGUUGCUCUGGUACUGGAUUUCGAUGUUGUGUGGUACGCCCAUAGAACCUCGGGCAGUAUCUCUCUCCACUUCCCUUUGGCAUUGGUCAAUCUCUUCUUAAGAUUCUGAAUGAUGGUUUUGUUGGUCGAUUCGGCUUGUCCGUUCCCACUGGGAUGAUAAGGCGUCGAUAAGAUCUUUUGACCUUGUGAUCCUCGAGAAAUUUAGUUACUUUGUUGCCGAUGAAUUACUUUCCAUUAUCACAUAUGAUCUCGGAGGGCAUCCUGAAUCGAUAUAUGAUGUGAUCCCAAAUGAAGUCUAUGACUUCUUUUUCUCUGACUUUCUCGAAAGCCUGUGCUUCAACCCACUUAGAAAAAUAAUCAGUCAUAAAUAAAAUAAACUGAGUUUUGCCUGGGGUGGAUGGAAGAGGGUCGACGAUAUCCAUUCCCCAUUUCAUGAACGACCAUGGGGAUAAGAUCGAAUGGAGCUGCUCUCCGGGCUGGUGAAUCAUUGGCGCAUACCUCUGGCAUUGGUCGUAUUUUCGAACGAACUCCUUUGCAUCCUUCUCCAUAUCGGUCCAGUAGUACCCUGCUUUGAUUACUUUGUGGACCAACGAUUUGGCACCAGAAUGAUUUCUACAAGUGCCGUCGUGAACUUCCCGCAUGACGUAAUCUGUAUCUCCCGGUCCCAAACAUAUUGCCAAUGAUCCAUCGAACAUCCUUCUAAAUAGUAUCCCGUCUUCGGACAAAAUGAACUGUGCUGCAUUUGUGCACAGUGCUCUCGACUCCAUUGGAUCUAAUGGGAGAUUCUCGUUCUUUAAGUACUCUAUGUACUUGUUUCUCCAAUCCCAGGUCAAACUCGUGGAGUUUAUUUCGGUGUGGCCUUCUUCGAUCACCAACCUUAUGAGUUGUAUGACAGUCCCCGAGUUGAGUUCGUCGUCUUCGAACGAUGAACCUAGAUUGGCAAGAGCGUCGGCCCCGCUGUUCUAUUCUCGAGGUACAUACUGCAAGGUCUAUUCCUUAAAUCGAUGUAGAGUUAUAUGUAGUUUAUCUAAGUAUCUCUACAUUUGGUCUUCUCGGACUUCAAAAGUCCUCUUAACUUGGUUUACAAUGAGGAAGGAAUCACGCUUGGCCUCUAUGAUAUCCGCUCCCAAACUUUUAGCUAGUUCGAGACCUGCAACUUUUAUAGUUCUGAUAGACUGUCUAACUAUAUUACCCAUGAGUGAUUUUAACACGAUGUCUAGUCCAUACCUCUUCACGUUCAAAGCAUCGUCCGUAAAAAGGGUCCAAACUCCUGAAGGUGUACCCAAUUUCAUCAGCAGUUCUUUUCAACCUCGGGUACGAGGACCGGCGCAAAGUCAGCCAUGAAGUCUGCCAAGAUUUGAGACUUGAUGGCAGUUCAGGGUCUAUACUCA